GAGUUUGAUCAUGGCUCAGAUUGAACGCUGGCGGCAUGCCUAACACAUGCAAGUCGAACGAUGAAGUCUAGCUUGCUAGACGGAUUAGUGGCGGACGGGUGAGUAAUGUAUAGGGAUCUGCCUAGUAGUGGGGGACAACAGCCGGAAACGGCUGCUAAUACCGCAUACGCUCUACGGAGGAAAGCGGGGGCUCUUCGGACCUCGUGCUAUUAGAUGAACCUAUAUCAGAUUAGCUAGUUGGUGGGGUAAAGGCCUACCAAGGCGACGAUCUGUAGCUGGUCUGAGAGGAUGAUCAGCCACACUGGGACUGAGACACGGCCCAGACUCCUACGGGAGGCAGCAGUGGGGAAUAUUGGACAAUGGGGGCAACCCUGAUCCAGCAAUGCCGCGUGUGUGAAGAAGGCUUUCGGGUUGUAAAGCACUUUCAAUAGGGAGGAAAGGUUGUAAGUUAAUACCUUGCAACUGUGACGUUACCUAUAGAAGAAGCACCGGCUAACUCCGUGCCAGCAGCCGCGGUAAUACGGAGGGUGCAAGCGUUAAUCGGAAUUACUGGGCGUAAAGCGCGCGUAGGCGGUUAUUUAAGUCAGAUGUGAAAUCCCCGGGCUCAACCUGGGAAUUGCAUUUGAUACUGGAUGGCUAGAGUGUGGUAGAGGUGAGUGGAAUUUCAGGUGUAGCGGUGAAAUGCGUAGAGAUCUGAAGGAACAUCAGUGGCGAAGGCGACUCACUGGGCCAUUACUGACGCUGAGGUGCGAAAGCGUGGGUAGCAAACAGGAUUAGAUACCCUGGUAGUCCACGCCCUAAACGAUGUCAACUAGGUGUAUGGAGAAUUUAUUCUUUGUGUAUCGAAGCUAACGCGAUAAGUUGACCGCCUGGGGAGUACGGUCGCAAGACUAAAACUCAAAUGAAUUGACGGGGGCCCGCACAAGCGGUGGAGCAUGUGGUUUAAUUCGAUGCAACGCGAAGAACCUUACCUGGCCUUGACAUGUAGCGAACUUUCCAGAGAUGGAUUGGUGCCUUCGGGAACGCUAACACAGGUGCUGCAUGGCUGUCGUCAGC
rnacentral:rRNA from 1 species